CGUAGGGUGCGAGCGUUGUCCGGAAUUACUGGGCGUAAAGAGCUCGUAGGUGGUUUGUCGCGUUGUCCGUGAAAACUCACAGCUCAACUGUGGGCGUGCGGGCGAUACGGGCAGACUGGAGUACUGCAGGGGAGACUGGAAUUCCUGGUGUAGCGGUGGAAUGCGCAGAUAUCAGGAGGAACACCAAUAGCGAAGGCAGCUCGCUGGGACGUUACUGACACUGAGGCGCGAAAGCGUGGGGAGCGAACAGG
rnacentral:rRNA from 1 species